rnacentral:rRNA from 1 species
AUGCACGCUGGCGGCGUGCCUCAUCCCUGCAAGUCGCGCGAAAAGACGAGGAGCUUGCUCCUCUGACGUUAGCGGCGGACGGGUGAGUAACACGUGGAUAACCUACCUAUAAGACUGGGAUAACUUCGGGAAACCGGAGCUAAUACCGGAUAAUAUAUUGAACCGCAUGGUUCAAUAGUGAAAGACGGUUUUGCUGUCACUUAUAGAUGGAUCCGCGCCGCAUUAGCUAGUUGGUAAGGUAACGGCUUACCAAGGCAACGAUGCGUAGCCGACCUGAGAGGGUGAUCGGCCACACUGGAACUGAGACACGGUCCAGACUCCUACGGGAGGCAGCAGUAGGGAAUCUUCCGCAAUGGGCGAAAGCCUGACGGAGCAACGCCGCGUGAGUGAUGAAGGUCUUCGGAUCGUAAAACUCUGUUAUUAGGGAAGAACAAAUGUGUAAGUAACUAUGCACGUCUUGACGGUACCUAAUCAGAAAGCCACGGCUAACUACGUG